rnacentral:rRNA from 1 species
ACGCUGGCGGCAGGCCUAACACAUGCAAGUCGAGCGGCAGCGGGAAGUAGCUUGCUACUUUGCCGGCGAGCGGCGGACGGGUGAGUAAUGUCUGGGAAACUGCCUGAUGGAGGGGGAUAACUACUGGAAACGGUAGCUAAUACCGCAUGACCUCGCAAGAGCAAAGUGGGGGACCUUCGGGCCUCACGCCAUCGGAUGUGCCCAGAUGGGAUUAGCUAGUAGGUGAGGUAAUGGCUCACCUAGGCGACGAUCCCUAGCUGGUCUGAGAGGAUGACCAGCCACACUGGAACUGAGACACGGUCCAGACUCCUACGGGAGGCAGCAGUGGGGAAUAUUGCACAAUGGGCGCAAGCCUGAUGCAGCCAUGCCGCGUGUGUGAAGAAGGCCUUAGGGUUGUAAAGCACUUUCAGCGAGGAGGAAGGGUUCAGUGUUAAUAGCACUGUGCAUUGACGUUACUCGCAGAAGAAGCACCGGCUAACUCCGUGCCAGCAGCCGCGGUAAUACGGAGGGUGCAAGCGUUAAUCGGAAUUACUGGGCGUAAAGCGCACGCAGGCGGUUUGUUAAGUCAGAUGUGAAAUCCCCGAGCUUAACUUGGGAACUGCAUUUGAAACUGGCAAGCUAGAGUCUUGUAGAGGGGGGUAGAAUUCCAGGUGUAGCGGUGAAAUGCGUAGAGAUCUGGAGGAAUACCGGUGGCGAAGGCGGCCCCCUGGACAAAGACUGACGCUCAGGUGCGAAAGCGUGGGGAGCAAACAG